CCAAGGAGUCUAACAUGUGCGCGAGUCAUUGGGGAUCUCUCGAGACCCACAGGCGCAAUGAAAGUGAAGGCAAGUUUGCAAUUGCUGAGGCGGGAUCCGCUCCGGGAGAGACUUAAAAUGAAUCCUCUUACCCGGCGGCGCACCGCCGGCCCGUCGCAACCGCUACUUGCCGGUGCGGCGGAGCAAGAGCGUACACGUUGGGACCCGAAAGAUGGUGAUCUAUGCCUGGGCAGGACGAAG
rnacentral:rRNA from 1 species